UCGAACGAAGGCCCUAGCUUGCUAGGUGUCCUUAGUGGCGCACGGGUGAGUAACACGUGGGAACAUACCUCAUAGUACGGAAUAACUGCGGGAAACUGUAGCUAAUACCGUAUAUUCCAGAAAUGGGAAAGAUUUAUCGCUAUGAGAUUGGCCCGCGCAAGAUUAGCUUGUUGGUAAGGUAAUGGCUUACCAAGGCUCCGAUCUUUAGCUGGUUUGAGAGGAUGAUCAGCCACACUGGGACUGAGACACGGCCCAGACUCCUACGGGAGGCAGCAGUAGGGAAUAUUGGACAAUGGGGGAAACCCUGAUCCAGCAAUGCAGCGUGAGUGACGAAGGCCUUAGGGUUGUAAAACUCUUUCAUCGGUGAGGAUAAUGACAGUAGCCGAAGAAGAUGGACCGGCUAAUUCCGUGCCAGCAGCCGCGGUAAUACGGAAGGUCCUAGCGUUGUUCGGAAUUACUGGGCGUAAAGCGCAUGUAGGCGGAACAAAAAGUUAGAAGUGAAAUCCCUGGGCUCAACCUAGGAAUGGCUUUUAAAACUUUUGUUCUGGAAUUCAGGAGAGGAAAAUGGAAUUUCCAGUGUAGAGGUGAAAUUCGUAGAUAUUGGAAGGAGCACCAGUGGCGAAGGCGAUUUUCUGGACUGAUAUUGACGCUGAGAUGCGAAGGCAUGGGUAGCAAACGGGAUUAGAUACCCCGGUAGUCCAUGCAGUAAACGAUGGGUGCUAGUCGUCGGACUUUUGUUCGGUGUCGUAGCUAACGCGUUAAGCACCCCGCCUGGGGAGUACGGUCGCAAGAUUAAAACUCAAAUAAAUUGACGGGGACCCGCACAAGCAGUGGAGCAUGUGGUUUAAUUCGACGCAACGCGAAGAACCUUACCAGCGUUUGACAUGGGAAGUGCCGGUUACAGAAUGGUAACCUUCAGUUCGGCUGGCUUCCACACAGGUGCUGCAUGGCUGUCGUCAGCUCGUGUCGUGAGAUGUUGGGUUAAGUCCCGCAACGAGCGCAACCCUUAUCGUUAGUUACUAACAGUUCGGCUGAGGACUCUAGCGAAACUGCCGGUGAUAAGCCGGAGGAAAGGUGGGGGAUGACGUCAAGUCCUCAUGGCCCU
rnacentral:rRNA from 1 species